AAGAAGAUGAAGAUACAAGCUGGUGAUGAUCCAGAGCAGCUGGUCUCAGGAAAUGAAAUAAAACCCUGAUCACCUUUUCCACAGAAACAAGUCUCAAUGGCUGAGAUGGAGGAGCAACACAGCGACACGUUAACCAGACUGCUGCAGUUCCUGUAUGAACUGAGCAACUCUAAAAAUCCAAGGAAAGAUAAGAUAAUUAUUUGCAUCCAGUGGUGAACCAAGUAACCAACCACAGUAGGAAGUAUAGAUUCCCCUAAUUGUGCUGCUGAUAUUCUCUAUAAACUCUCUAUCUAUAAACUAUUUACAUUAAUGUUUGUGCAUAAUGGCUACCUCUGUCUGAUGAAGACACUAGCAGAUAGUCAAUUUGCCAGCAGGUUUGUGUGCACUGGAAACAUUAAUUCAUGUAUCAUGUCUGUCACCAAAACAGAUCUCUGCAGAUCCUGAAGUCGAACUCCCAGUGACCCCAUGCAUCCUAAUCAGAGGUGACCAGCAAUUCAAGAUUGCUGUUGAUGGGUUACUUGUCAAUGACCACAUCACCUCUCCCAUUGUGGCCUUGAGCUACGUCUUCUCCAUGUUUUAUGUCUGCAACGUCCAAUACCCACCGGAGAUGGCUUUUACUCUCGAAUUCAUGCAAAGAGUUUUCUUUGGGGUCAAUCCUGAGCGAGGCUCCAAGGCAGAGAAGAAGGGGAAGAAACGGCACUUCAUUCCUCCACAGGUGUGCAAGCUGGUUUCUCAGCUGAAGGAAUUUGAAUGCAAGCAGAAGGAAUCUGAAUGGGCCAUUUGAGCUGUUCUCAGAGCUCAGAAAAUACCUUUUUGGACUGAAUGUACACACACACACACACACACACACACACACACACACACAAAGGCAAAUCCAAAAACAUGGGGCUUGGGAGUAGAAAUACAGAUUUUUACAGUAUUAGGUGAGUUCAGAUGUUUUAACUAGAUGCCCACAACACACAUGCUGCAGUUUCAAAUCCCCCAUGUUAAGGGGGAGGGAAGGUGGGCGAUAUUUGUCAUUCCGGUUAAGCUUUUCCUGUCAUUGUGGAGUUGGAGGUGUAAGUUUUAAUUUUUUUUAGUUUUAAGUUGUUUUAAGAGUUUUAAAAUCUCUUUAUGGCAUGUUGCACAGUCAUCCUUCUAAGGUCAUGGUUGUUAUUGCUGCACUGAUGUUUUAUAGAAAAGUUGUAUAAUGUAAUACUUCUAAUGUUCUAUUUGUUUUUGU